rnacentral:rRNA from 1 species
UACGUAGGGUGCAAGCGUUAAUCGGAAUUACUGGGCGUAAAGCGUGCGCAGGCGGUUUGGUAAGACAGAUGUGAAAUCCCCGGGCUCAACCUGGGAAUUGCAUUUGUGACUGCCCGACUAGAGUGUGUCAGAGGGGGGGUAGAAUUCCACGUGUAGCAGUGAAAUGCGUAGAGAUGUGGAGGAAUACCGAUGGCGAAGGCAGCCCCCCUGGGAUAACACUGACGCUCAUGCACGAAAGCGUGGGGAGCAA